GAUGAACGCUGGCGGCGUGCUUAACACAUGCAAGUCGAACGAUGAAGCCGGAGCUUGCUCUGGUGGAUUAGUGGCGAACGGGUGAGUAACACGUGAGUAACCUGCCCUUGACUCUGGGAUAAGCGCUGGAAACGGCGUCUAAUACCGGAUACGAGCUUCCACCGCAUGGUGAGUUGCUGGAAAGAAUUUCGGUCAAGGAUGGACUCGCGGCCUAUCAGCUUGUUGGUGAGGUAACGGCUCACCAAGGCGACGACGGGUAGCCGGCCUGAGAGGGUGACCGGCCACACUGGGACUGAGACACGGCCCAGACUCCUACGGGAGGCAGCAGUGGGGAAUAUUGCACAAUGGGCGCAAGCCUGAUGCAGCAACGCCGCGUGAGGGACGAAGGCCUUCGGGUCGUAAACCUCUUUUAGCAGGGAAGAAGCGAAAGUGACGGUACCUGCAGAAAAAGCACCGGCUAACUACGUGCCAGCCGCCGCAGUAA
rnacentral:rRNA from 1 species